GAUCGCCAGACCUCGCGCGGAUGGAUGGACCUAUGUGCGAUUAGCUUGUUGGUGAGGUAACGGCUCACCAAGGCGACCAUCGCUAGCUGGUCUGAGAGGAUGAUCAGCCACACUGGGACUGAGACACGGCCCAGACUCCUACGGGAGGCAGCAGUGGGGAAUAUUGGACAAUGGGCGCAAGCCUGAUCCAGCAAUGCCGCGGGUGUGAAGAAGGCCCUCGGGUUGUAAAGCACUUUUA
rnacentral:rRNA from 1 species